rnacentral:tRNA from 1 species
GCCCCGGUAGCUCAGUGGACAAGAGCAGAGGACUUCUAAGCCUAAGGUCGCAGGUUCGAAUCCUGCCCGGGGUACCA